rnacentral:rRNA from 1 species
ACGGAGGGAGCUAGCGUUGUUCGGAAUUACUGGGCGUAAAGCGCACGUAGGCGGCUUUGUAAGUCAGAGGUGAAAGCCUGGAGCUCAACUCCAGAACUGCCUUUGAGACUGCAUCGCUUGAAUCCAGGAGAGGUGAGUGGAAUUCCGAGUGGGGGGGUCAAAGGCGUGGUUUUGCGGAGGAAGAGCAGUGGCGAGGGCAGCACACUGGACUGGUAUCCACGCUGACCUGAGAAUGUGUGUAACACAAGGAG